GGAGGAUUUUUAAAAUAUGCCAGAGCUGGCUGGGUACAGUGGCUCACACCUGUAACCUGAGGACUUUGAGGUGGAGACGGGCAGACCACCUGAGCUCAGGAGCUCAAGACCAGCCUGGGCAACAUGGCAAAACCCUGUCUCUACUAACACUAUAAAAAGUUAGCUGGGCGUGUUGGUGCAUGCUGUAGUCCCAGCUACUCAGGAGGCUGAGCCACGAGAAUCGCUUGAACCUGGGAGAUGGAGGUUGAAGUGAGCCAAGAUCGCACCAUUGCACUCCAGCCUGGGGAAAAAAAAAAGCCAGGCCUCCUAAUGUACUCAUUUAAACAUCACUUGUGUCCACCUGGGUUCAGAAUUGCGCUGGACAUGGGAUACACAAAGGGGGAGUGGAAUUUUCAGGAAGCAGCUGUGCUGUGGGUGACGGUCAUACUUUAUUCUCUAAAACUCUCCAGUUUCAAUUGGCCUCUUGGUGCCAAAGCACCAUGGCGUGUUACACCUAUCAGAUCGGGCACACUGCCCCUUCUUCCCAACCUACGAGCUGAAAUGGCCAGCACUGCGCCUUCCAGAACCCAGCGUAGAUGCACAGCUGCCACGGAGGUAGGAAGAAUGAUUCGUUUGCCACCAAAAGCCCAGUUUCUCCAACAGGUAAGUCCUGAAUCCCUAGGCCAGCCCGGCCCCUUCCCACACACCCCUACCCCGAGACGGGUGCAGAAUCAGCAGCGGGGAUCAUCCAGAGACUCUCGCAGUCCACGGCAGGUGUCGGAGUGGGCCUCAUUCCAGAGUUGUGGUGGCCGCUCCACCUGGCGAGCUUCGAGGGGACUCCGGCAGGCGCUCGCUGUGGGGUCCUCCCACCAGUCUUCUCAGCACAGGAACGGUGCCUUCACAUUGGUCUUCCGGGGCUUAAAAGCAUAUCAUUCCUGCUUGCUCUUCAGAUGCAAACUCCCCCUCCAAGGAUACCUCCAGGUUCCCUGCCAGCUCACUUGACUCACAUGGCAAUGGUCACCGGGCUGCCUGAGCCCAAAUCAAGCACCGUUUAUUAGGGGGAAGCUCCGUUAUCCAGAAAGCUCAUCUUUGAAGAGCUACCCAUUUCCUGCCAAAGUUGUGGCGGGAAGGCCUUAGGUACUAGAAAACCUUGGGGAAUGGCAAUUAAAGGAUUAUCAUUCUUACUUAUUUGUUUGGAUAAGCAGCAAUCACCCUUCGGAUGCUUAUUGGUGAGAAUAUUUCUAAAAGUGUCCUGCACAUUUCCCUGCUUUGAUGAAUGGAACGGCAGGGCAGGAUUUAACUGUCUGAUGGCUACGGUUUUGGGAAAGUGCCAGAACCUCCACGUCAGCCACCCCAGAGCCACAGGCAGGGUAUGAGCCACAGCAAUGGGCCCCAAGAAAGAGCCCCACACCCACCAUGGUCCACGGAAGACGCUGCUUACUGGCCCCGGGUUACCUGGAGUCAUGUGCAUUCUCCUUACAUCAAGUGAAGAUAAUAUUUUGUUUCCUUCCCACUUUUUCUCUAACACAAGCCACCCCAGUUCUCCCUUCUGACAACAGGCAAGUGGACCCUAGUAGACCUUCCAGAAAAGCCUUAGAGAGCACCCCCAAAUGCUCACAUUUGUCAGCUGUAAUUCCACCCUCAGUUAAAACCUGAUUCUCAAUGUGACUUGGCCAACGCAGCUUGCAAAGCAAGAACGUCUUCAUCUAAGGUUGAAAACAUCAGUUGUUUGGGUUGUGAGAAAAGAAAAGCCCACAAGGUUUCCGAGGCUUGGUGCUGUUUCUCACUGUCCUCAGCUCCUGAUUCUGCAGCUGGUUCUCUCUCCAAGCACUAGCAAAACCCUGCCCUAGGAGCCCCCAGACUCUGAGAGCCCAUGACCAAAAAGAAAAGGAAAG
rnacentral:lncRNA from 1 species